rnacentral:rRNA from 1 species
CCUACGGGAGGCAGCAGUGAGGAAUAUUGGUCAAUGGGCGUAAGCCUGAACCAGCCAAGUCGCGUGAAGGAUGACGGUUCUAUGGGUCGUAAACCUCUUUUAUAUGGGAAUAAAGUGCGGGACGUGUGGGGUUUUGUAUGUACCAUAUGAAUAAGGAUCGGCUAACUCCGUGCCAGCAGCCGCGGUAAUACGGAGGAUCCGAGCGUUAUCCGGAUUUAUUGGGUUUAAAGGGUGCGUAGGCGGCUUUUUAAGUCAGUGGUGAAAGUUUGCGGCUCAACCGUAGAAUUGCAGUUGAAACUGGCAGUCUUGAGUACGUUAGAGGCAGGCGGAAUGCGUGGUGUAGCGGUGAAAUGCUUAGAUAUCACGAAGAACCCCGAUUGCGAAGGCAGUUCAC